AUUGAACGCUGGCGGCAGGCCUAACACAUGCAAGUCGAACGGUAACAGGAAACAGCUUGCUGUUUCGCUGACGAGUGGCGGACGGGUGAGUAAUGUCUGGGAAACUGCCUGAUGGAGGGGGAUAACUACUGGAAACGGUAGCUAAUACCGCAUAACGUCGCAAGACCAAAGAGGGGGACCUUCGGGCCUCUUGCCAUCGGAUGUGCCCAGAUGGGAUUAGCUAGUAGGUGGGGUAACGGCUCACCUAGGCGACGAUCCCUAGCUGGUCUGAGAGGAUGACCAGCCACACUGGAAAUGAGACACGGUCCAGACUCCUACGGGAGGCAGCAGUGGGGAAUAUUGCACAAUGGGCGCAAGCCUGAUGCAGCCAUGCCGCGUGUAUGAAGAAGGCCUUCGGGUUGUAAAGUACUUUCAGCGGGGAGGAAGGGAGUAAAGUUAAUACCUUUGCUCAUUGACGUUACCCGCAGAAGAAGCACCGGCUAACUCCGUG
rnacentral:rRNA from 1 species